ensembl:snRNA U6 U6 spliceosomal RNA
GCCGCCAUUGAUUGGUUUUGCCUAGCUUUGAAGUUUAUAUAGUGAAGAUUAGCACGGCCCUUGCACAAGGAUGACAUGCAAAUUCGUGAAGUUUAUAUGAAUGAA